rnacentral:rRNA from 1 species
ACCCAAUAGAUACCCGGGUAGUCCACGCCUUAAACGAUGAGAGCUAGUUGUCAGUAAGCAUGCUUAUUGGUGACGCAGCUAACGCAUUAAGCUCUCCGCCUGGGGAGUACGGCCGCAAGGUUAAAACUCAAAGAAAUUGACGGGGGCCGCACAAGCGGUGGAGCAUGUGGUUUAAUUUCGAAGCAACGCGCAGAACCUUACCCACCUUUGACAUCCCGUGCUAUCUAGAGAGAUCUAGAGUCCCUUCGGGGCGCGGAGACAGGUGCUGCAUGGCUGUCGUCAGCUCGUGUCGUGAGAUGUUGGGUUAAGUCCCGCAACGAGCGCAACCCUCGCUUCUAGUUGCCAGCUAUUUA